UACGUAGGGUGCAAGCGUUGUCCGGAAUUAUUGGGCGUAAAGAGCUCGUAGGCGGUUUGUCGCGUCUGCUGUGAAAACUCGGGGCUUAACUCCGGGCCUGCAGUGGGUACGGGCAGACUAGAGUGUGGUAGGGGAGACUGGAAUUCCUGGUGUAGCGGUGAAAUGCGCAGAUAUCAGGAGGAACACCGAUGGCGAAGGCAGGUCUCUGGGCCAUAACUGACGCUGAGAAGCGAAAGCAUGGGGAGCAAACAGG
rnacentral:rRNA from 1 species